rnacentral:tRNA from 1 species
GGCUGUUUGUCCGAGUGGUUAAGGAGGCGGACUUGAAAUCCGCUGGGACAUUCCCGCGUAGGUUCAAAUCCUGCAGCAGUCG